AAUGGCACAAACAUACGUACAAUGAGGAUUAUCAGAAGGGUGAAAAUAAAAAUAUUAAGAACUGAAUUUUUAUUUGCAUGUAGGUUUUUUAAAGCUUUGACUAUAUCUAUCUCAGUUAUCCGCUUCUUUCUAACUUGUUCUUUCAUUAAUUUCCCUGGUAUUUAUUAAUUCAAUCUAGAAAACGUUGACGCAGUCUUCCUCUAGUUCAUGUCUUAUAUUUGGAUUUCUAACCACUGAAUCAUGAAAGUUUAAUCAUUGAAAUUUUUGUCAAUAUUCGCGUUAGUUCUUCCUUCAUAGUACCCUAUUUCCGUAUAAUGUACAGAUCAGUAUACUCUUUUAAGAACUUCGUUUUCAAAUUGUAAUUAUUUUGUCUCAUCAAGUUAGUCAUAACAGACAACGGUUAAUAUUCCAAGCAAAGUAUUAUGAAUAUUUUAAAUAUACAUUUUUUCAUAAGUUUAGUAUUCAAUACUGUUUUCCGAACAGUUUUAAAAAGACGUCCUGG